GAUGAACGCUGGCGGCGUGCCUAAUACAUGCAAGUCGAGCGAACAGACGAGGAGCUUGCUCCUCUGACGUUAGCGGCGGACGUGUGAGUAACACGUGGAUAACCUACCUAUAAGACUGGGAUAACUUCGGGAAACCGGAGCUAAUACCGGAUAAUAUAUUGAACCGCAUGGUUCAAUAGUGAAAGACGGUUUUGCUGUCACUUAUAGAUGGAUCCGCGCCGCAUUAGCUAGUUGGUAAGGUAACGGCUUACCAAGGCAACGAGGCGUAGCCGACCUGAGAGGGUGAUCGGCCACACUGGAACUGAGACACGGUCCAGACUCCUACGGGAGGCAGCAGUAGGGAAUCUUCCGCAAUGGGCGAAAGCCUGACGGAGCAACGCCGCGUGAGUGAUGAAGGUCUUCGGAUCGUAAAACUCUGUUAUUAGGGAAGAACAAAUGUGUAAGUAACUAUGCACGUCUUGACGGUACCUAAUCAGAAAGCCACGGCUAACUACGUG
rnacentral:rRNA from 1 species